GGGAAAAGGAGAAGAGGAAGAAAGAGAUGAAUUGAUUAUCAAGUGAGAUGAGGUGCAGCGGAAUUUGUAUUCAGCAGUGACAGAAUUAAUUUUGGAAGGGGAUCAACCGCCCCUGUCUGAGGACUCAAGAGCAUUACAGGAGCUGACAGC